rnacentral:rRNA from 1 species
CAAUAGCGUAUAUUAAAGUUGUUGCGGUUAAAAGCUCGUAGUUGGAUUUCUGUCUAGGGUGGCCGGUACCCACUAUGUGGGUUAUCUGGUACAGUCUGGGCAUCCUCUUGGGGAUCGCUUCUGUGCUUGAUUGCAUGGGGCGGAAUUCAAGACUUUUACUUUGAGGAAAUUAGAGUGUUCACGGCAAGCUAUCGCUUUGAAUACAUUAGCAUGGAAUAAUAAUAUAGGGCUUUGGUUCUAUUUUGUUGGUUUCUAGGACUAAAGUAAUGAUUAAUAGGGAUAAUUGGGGGCAUUUGUAUUAACGCGUCAGAGGUGGAAUUCUUGGAUUGCGUUACGACAAACUACUGCGAAAGCAUUUGCCAAGGAUGUUUUCAUUGAUCAAGAACGAAAGUAUGGGGAUCGAAGAUGAUCAGAUACCAU